UCCUUAUAAGAGCAGUCCGAUUGAAGAAGACGACUCAGAGAAAGUAUGGACUGCUGUCCAAUCAAGAGGACAACAUGGAGAUGGCGCAUCUUGAGAGCGACGAGGAAGACAUGACUGUUUACGAAGCGAAGGCACUGAGAAGAUGAGUCCUGGGUAUCUGGCCAAUAGAGCAGCGACGACUGGAAAAGAAUGGAAGCGGGGGCUUUCUUCAAGCUUAUUUUUUCACCACUAGAAUUUAGUUUUUAUUUUUCUCCAUAUCCACGAGAGGCAAUAGACUGGAUAUUCAAAUGAUUUUUCUGUAACCUUUUUAACAUAAGCAUAUGAAUUGUUAAAAGAUAGGUAUGCAUUGGUUUGUGGUGAGCAAAUGAGCAAGUCUUCUUGGUUUUUAUUUAAUCAUCUUUGGCAGAUGUGUUGGAGGUUAUAGAGUGCAGUAAGUGAACGGAAUCUGUCAGGCACCCUUUAGUGCUGAAACUGCCUGUGCAGUGUCCUGUCACUCCAAAGUUCUGUGGACAUCGUGCCCAUCAGACCCCCACAAACAGUCUGGUUUUCUAUUUUUGGCAUUGUCACAAGGCACAGACUUAUGGGGGGGGGGUUUCUUUUUAUUUAUAUCAUUAAAUAUCUUGUGUCUUUAUUCAUGUUACAUCAAUUCACCACCUAUUGUGACCUUUUUAGUCACAGGUUUAAAAAAAAAUGGUGGCCUUCAAGAUUUUUCAUGAUCUUUUUUUUUUUUUUUUGCUUUUUUUUAACGUUUACGCUUAUCUCUGUACUGAAUAUUAGUUCUCGGUGGUCAAACUUCACUGUGAACAUCUUGCGUUCAGACUGGGCAGAUUAGACCAGCGUGAUCGAUUGCCUGAGGGGAGUUUCUCACUGAGAUCCUUCCAAUGUGCCAAUACAUCGCGAGCCAGCCGUCCUCGCCUGACUGGCUCAUCCAGUGGGACUGUCAUCCACUGUUUAAUAGCCCUAGCCGCGCGAUCUGGUUAUAACCACAACAGAAGAGAGUUGCUCACAGAAGCCUUCAUUCUAAAAUCCAUAGACAAUCUCAGGGGUGAUAAAGAGCCCGAUCCUAGAGCUCCAUUAUCUUCAAAUUGAUGAAUUAUUAACCAUUAUCUCCAAAGCUGGAUUCUUUUAGAGGUCAUAUUGCUCAUCAUUGAGAUAAGGAUGUUGGCAGAGGACAGGUUUGAUUGGAGAUUUCCUCCCUCUGUUCUGGCUGCAGUCCUUCCAACGUGAUGUUUUCCAACUAACAUGGACAAUGUUGUACCGAGAUGUGCAUUUAUUUAACAUUGGAACGUGGCUAUACAGUGAUGAUCCUCCUUGCACUUCAUUGGACUUUAUUCUUGACUUCAUAUUUUGUGGCGUAAUUCCAGUGCUGUAAGUUUAUUGGGCUGAGGAUUCUGUUCUCAGAGAGGCAGACUAACUGUUGGCUUGGAUUCCCUUAAUGCGUUUUGGUUCUUUUAAUGUAAGCACUUGUCACUCACAAUUGUGUACCAUAGAUGGUGUUCAACCUUUGUUUUGUCAAAUGUUUAAUUCAGCACUGGAAAGUGUUGGUCAUGUCACUUCAGCAGUGAUUUUUGCAGAAACAUCUCUAAAUUGUUGUUUGUGAUUUCUUCAUGUUGGAUUUAAUUUUCAUUCGCGUGUGCCAACCAUCCACAAACAUGCAGGCCUGCUCAAGAUCAGAAUUUAAGCAGAUCCUGCAGACUCAGACAGACUGUAUUCAGAAAGCCAAAGAAUUAAUAUGGAAGAUUGCAUGUUUGAAAAUGUGUAAGUUAAAAAGGUAAUGUUCUCUGCUUGUUUAUUGUAAUGUUUCAUGUAAUAAUCUCUGUAUGCUGCAAAAGCAUAUGCACUGUUGUAAAUCCCUUUGACCGCAGCACUCCUGCUCCACAGGCAGGUAUACGAAACGAAGGAGGGAAAUAAGGUGAUUUGACUCAAGGCUUUACACUGUUAAACAUUUGCUUAAUUGUAAUUAAUUUUGUGCUCUUUCUCAGGGGGUUACCUGUAAUUGCGAGUAAGUGCGAUUUUUCCUGUGGUGGUGUUAAUCGAAUGAGAUGAGCGGCCAAGCGAGACAUGGCUUCUGCUGUAGGAAUGGACCGUUGGGUUAUUGAGCCAGAACCCACUGAGAAAUCUCACAUCUGCUCUGCGCAGACUGUGGAUUUCAGGGUAUCGAACACGGAGCUGACGUUUGGUUUUUGUGUCUUGCGGCCCUGACAUUCCAUUACCUUUGUAAAGGACAGCAGAAUUAUCAGUCAAAGCAUCUCAGAAAAUUUGGCUCUGAGUGUGUCACUCCAUUUUGCAAAUUGUGAGGGUUCUGUGGCUUUUGGGGGCCUAUCUCAUCCACAAAAAUGAUUUUGUUCAUUUUUGGUUUAAGUCAUUAAUAAUCUUUUUAUGAAGCCACAAACACUUUGGUUUGUCAGCGCUGAUAUUAAAUUUAAAAAAAGGAAAAAA